UCCGCCUUGGAGGCGGCAGUCUCCCAUGAAAAAUCAACAUAGGAUGAGGGUUGCGCUCGUUCGCUGACUUAACAGUACACCUCAAGGCACGAGCUGACGACGACCGUGCAUCGCCUGUCUCUAGGUUCCUUGCGGCACCCCGACCUUUCGGCCAGGUUCCUAGGAUGUCAAGUCUGGGUGAGGUUCUCCGUUUAUUAUCGAAUUAAACCCCAUGCUCCACCGCUUGUGUGGGUCCCCGUCUAUUCCUUUGAGUUUUAGCCUUGCGGCCGUACUUCCCAGGCGGUGGGCUUACCGCGUUAGCUGAGGCACAGGAACCAAUUGAUAAAGUUCCUACACCGAGCCCACAUAGUUUAGGGCGUGGACUA
rnacentral:misc_RNA from 1 species